AGUGGCGAACGGUUGAGUAACACGUAGACAACCUGCCUCGAAGUGGGGGACAACAGCGGGAAACUGCUGCUAAUACCGCAUACGGCUCUCCAGCCUGUUGGGGCAGCUAAAGGCGCAAGCCGCUUCGAGAUGGGUCUGCGGCCUAUCAGUUUGUUGGUGGGGUAACGGCCUACCAAGACGACGACGGGUAGCUGGUCUGAGAGGAUGAUCAGCCAGACGGGGACUGAGACACGGCCCCGACUCCUUCGGGAGGCAGCAAUGAGGAAUAUUGCGCAAUGGGCGAAAGCCUGACGCAGCGACGCCGCGUGGGUGAGGAAGUCCUUCGGGAUGUAAAGCCCUUUUGUCGGGGACGAUCACAGACGGUACCCGACGAAUAAGCCCCGGCUAACUACGUGCCAGCAGCCGCGGUAAUACGUAGGGGGCGAGCGUUGUCCGGAUUUACUGGGCGUAAAGAGCGCGUAGGCGGAAAUUUAAGCGUGGCCUGAAAGCCCCCGGCUCAACCGGGGAGUGCGGCUGCGAACUGGGUUUCUUGAGGACGAUAGAGGAGAGUGGAAUUCCUGGUGUAGCGGUGAAAUGCGUAGAUAUCAGGAGGAACACCCGAGGCGAAGGCGGCUCUCUGGGUCGUACC
rnacentral:rRNA from 1 species